rnacentral:rRNA from 1 species
GACGAACGCUGGCGGCGUGCCUAAUACAUGCAAGUAGAACGCUGAAGAGAGGAGCUUGCUCUUCUUGGAUGAGUUGCGAACGGGUGAGUAACGCGUAGGUAACCUGCCUUGUAGCGGGGGAUAACUAUUGGAAACGAUAGCUAAUACCGCAUAACAAUGGAUGACACAUGUCAUUUAUUUGAAAGGGGCAAUUGCUCCACUACAAGAUGGACCUGCGUUGUAUUAGCUAGUAGGUGAGGUAAUGGCUCACCUAGGCGACGAUACAUAGCCGACCUGAGAGGGUGAUCGGCCACACUGGGACUGAGACACGGCCCAGACUCCUACGGGAGGCAGCAGUAGGGAAUCUUCGGCAAUGGGGGCAACCCUGACCGAGCAACGCCGCGUGAGUGAAGAAGGUUUUCGGAUCGUAAAGCUCUGUUGUAAGUCAAGAACGGGUGUGAGAGUGGAAAGUUCACACUGUGACGGUAGCUUACCAGAAAGGGACGGCUAACUACGUGCCAGCAGCCGCGGUAAUACGUAGGUCCCGAGCGUUGUCCGGAUUUAUUGGGCGUAAAGCGAGCGCAGGCGGUUUGAUAAGUCUGAAGUUAAAGGCUGUGGCUCAACCAUAGUUCACUUUGGAAACUGUCAAACUUGAGUGCAGAAGGGGAGAGUGGAAUUCCAUGUGUAGCGGUGAAAUGCGUAGAUAUAUGGAGGAACACCGGUGGCGAAAGCGGCUCUCUGGUCUGUAACUGACGCUGAGGCUCGAAAGCGUGGGGAGCGAACAGGAUUAGAUACCCUGGUAGUCCACGCCGUAAACGAUGAGUGCUAGGUGUUGGAUCCUUUCCGGGAUUCAGUGCCGCAGCUAACGCAUUAAGCACUCCGCCUGGGGAGUACGACCGCAAGGUUGAAACUCAAAGGAAUUGACGGGGGCCCGCACAAGCGGUGGAGCAUGUGGUUUAAUUCGAAGCAACGCGAAGAACCUUACCAGGUCUUGACAUCCCGAUGCUAUUUCUAGAGAUAGAAGGUUACUUCGGUACAUCGGUGACAGGUGGUGCAUGGUUGUCGUCAGCUCGUGUCGUGAGAUGUUGGGUUAAGUCCCGCAACGAGCGCAACCCCUAUUGUUAGUUGCCAUCAUUCAGUUGGGCACUCUAGCGAGACUGCCGGUAAUAAACCGGAGGAAGGUGGGGAUGACGUCAAAUCAUCAUGCCCCUUAUGACCUGGGCUACACACGUGCUACAAUGGUUGGUACAACGAGUUGCGAGUCGGUGACGGCGAGCUAAUCUCUUAAAGCCAAUCUCAGUUCGGAUUGUAGGCUGCAACUCGCCUACAUGAAGUCGGAAUCGCUAGUAAUCGCGGAUCAGCACGCCGCGGUGAAUACGUUCCCGGGCCU